GACGUGCUAAUCUGCGAUAAGCGUCGGUAAGGUGAUAUGAACCGUUAUAACCGGCGAUUUCCGAAUGGGGAAACCCAGUGUGUUUCGACACACUAUCAUUAACUGAAUCCAUAGGUUAAUGAGGCGAACCGGGGGAACUGAAACAUCUAAGUACCCCGAGGAAAAGAAAUCAACCGAGAUUCCCCCAGUAGCGGCGAGCGAACGGGGAGCAGCCCAGAGCCUGAAUCAGUGUGUGUGUUAGUGGAAGCGUCUGGAAAGGCGCGCGAUACAGGGUGACAGCCCCGUACACAAAAAUGCACAUGCUGUGAGCUCGAUGAGUAGGGCGGGACACGUGGUAUCCUGUCUGAAUAUGGGGGGACCAUCCUCCAAGGCUAAAUACUCCUGACUGACCGAUAGUGAACCAGUACCGUGAGGGAAAGGCGAAAAGAACCCCGGCGAGGGGAGUGAAAAAGAACCUGAAACCGUGUACGUACAAGCAGUGGGAGCACGCUUAGGCGUGUGACUGCGUACCUUUUGUAUAAUGGGUCAGCGACUUAUAUUCUGUAGCAAGGUUAACCGAAUAGGGGAGCCGAAGGGAAACCGAGUCUUAACUGGGCGUUAAGUUGCAGGGUAUAGACCCGAAACCCGGUGAUCUAGCCAUGGGCAGGUUGAAGGUUGGGUAACACUAACUGGAGGACCGAACCGACUAAUGUUGAAAAAUUAGCGGAUGACUUGUGGCUGGGGGUGAAAGGCCAAUCAAACCGGGAGAUAGCUGGUUCUCCCCGAAAGCUAUUUAGGUAGCGCCUCGUGAAUUCAUCUCCGGGGGUAGAGCACUGUUUCGGCAAGGGGGUCAUCCCGACUUACCAACCCGAUGCAAACUG
rnacentral:rRNA from 1 species